GAAUCUCCAGGUUAAACAGGCAGCUAGUGCUAGGCACGCAUGGGCUUUGUCCGGGAUUUACUGCCUGAACAGAGACAGGCUUUGACCUUCAAAUAGCGAUGGGCUUAGAUUAAAUUUGGGCCGAAUUUGCCUAAGACCACCCUGGAGAAAGGCAUGAAGAUUUAAAGGGAAGACAAUGAGACUGCAGGAAGAUAGACCUAGGGUGAAGUCUCAUUUCCCCCAAACGUUGUGUGAAUCUUCUAAGACGAACAGGAUUUCUCUGUGUAACUGCUGUGGCUGUCCUGGAACUCACUCAUGUAGACCAGACUGGCCUCCAACUCACAGAGAUCCACCUGCCUCUGCUGGGAUUUAAGGCUUGAGCUACCUUCACAUGGAAUGAUCUUAUUUAGAAAAAGAAAGUUAUCUUACUGUUCCUGCCGGAGUGAUUUUAGUGGAAAAACACAAUACAGAACCUAGUAAGCUAUUGUGACAGAAGCCAUAGACUUUCCUUUACAAUUCCAUCAACAUGAAUCUACACAUAGUGGAAGAAAAGGC
rnacentral:lncRNA from 1 species